UACGUAGGGUGCAAGCGUUGUCCGGAAUUAUUGGGCGUAAAGGGCGCGUAGGCGGCAGGCCAAGUCGGGAGUGAAAGCCCGGGGCUCAACCCCGGAAUGUCUUUCGAAACUGGCCAGCUUGAGUGCGGAAGAGGCAACUGGAAUUCCCAGUGUAGCGGUGAAAUGCGUAGAUAUUGGGAAGAACACCUGAGGCGAAGGCGGGUUGCUGGGCCGACACUGACGCUGAGGCGCGAAAGCCAGGGGAGCAAACGGG
rnacentral:rRNA from 1 species